GAAAUGCGAUAAGUAAUGUGAAUUGCAGAAUUCAGUGAAUCAUCGAAUCUCUGAACGCACAUUGCGCCCGCCAGUAUUCUGGCGGGCAUGCCUGUUCGAGCGUCAUUUCAACCAUCAAGCCCCCGGCUUGUGUUGGGGACCUGCGGCUGCCCGCAGGCCCUGAAAAACAGUGGCGGGCUCGCUGUCACACCGAGCGUAGUAGCAUACAUUCUCGCUCAGGGCGUGCUGCGGGUUCCGGCCGUUAAACGACCUUCAUAACCCAAGGUUGACCUCGGAUCAGGUAGGAAGACCCGCUGAACUUAAGC
rnacentral:misc_RNA from 1 species